GACGAACGCUGGCGGCGUGCUUAACACAUGCAAGUCGAACGGAAAGGCCCUGCUUUUGUGGGGUGCUCGAGUGGCGAACGGGUGAGUAACACGUGAGUAACCUGCCCUUGACUUUGGGAUAACUUCAGGAAACUGGGGCUAAUACCGGAUAGGAGCUCCUGCUGCAUGGUGGGGGUUGGAAAGUUUCGGCGGUUGGGGAUGGACUCGCGGCUUACCAGCUUGUUGGUGGGGUAGUUGCUUACCAAGGCUUUGACGGAUAGCCGGCCUGAGAGGGUGACCGGCCACAUUGGGACUGAGAUACGGCCCAGACGCCUACGGGAGGCAGCAGUGGGGAAUAUUGCACAAUGGGCGGAAGCCUGAUGCAGCAACGCCGCGUGCGGGAUGACGGCCUUCGGGUUGUAAACCGCUUUCGCCUGUGACGAAGCGUGAGUGACGGUAAUGGGUAAAGAAGCACCGGCUAACUACGUG
rnacentral:rRNA from 1 species